rnacentral:lncRNA from 1 species
UCAUUCUAAUCAAACCAGCAUGAACCGGGAUGUAAGAAGCUUGAUAUGGAUACAUAAAGUAGUGGAGAAUCACCAGGAAGUUGAAUAAAUUUCAUAGGAGUUAGGAUGAAGAAGCUAUCCCACUUUGAAAUCAGGUGAUCCCAGUUUUCCUGUUUGGGAAUACGACAACUUCUUCGUCAUUCUUAUCAAACCAGGAUGAACUGCGAUAUAAGAAGCUUGAUAUGGAUACAUAAAGUAGUGGAGAAUCACCAGGAAGUUUGAAUAAAUAUCAUAGGAGUUAGCAUAAAGUUUGAAUUAAUCUCAUUGGAGUUAGGAUGAAGAAGCUAUCCCACUUUCAAAUUAGGUGAUCCCAGUUUUUCUGUUUGGGAAUAUGACAACUUCUUCGUCAUUCUUAUCAAACCGGGAUGAACUGCAAUAUAAGAAGCUUGAUUUGGAUACCUAAAGUAGUGGGAGAAUCACCAGGAAGUUGAAAAAAUCUCAUAGGAGUUAGGAUGAAGAAGCUAUCCCACUUUCAAAUCAGGUGAUCCCAUUAUUCAUGUUUGGGAAUAUGACAACUUCUUCGUCAUUCUUAUCAAACCAGGAUGAACUGCGAUAUAAGAAGCUUGAUAUGGAUACAUAAAGUAGUGGAGAAUCACCAGGAAGUUUGAAUAAAUAUCAUAGCAGUUAGGAUGAAGAAGCUAUCCCACUUUCAAACUUUCAAAUCAGGUGAUCCCAGUUUUUCUGUUUGGGAAUAUGACAACUUCUUCGUUAUUCUUAUCAAACCAUGAUGAACCGCGAUGUAAGAAGCUUGAAUUGGAUACAUAAAGUAGUGGAGAAUCACCAGGAAGUUGAAUAAAUCUCAUAGGAGUUAGGAUGAAGAAGCUAUCCCACUUUCAAAUCAGGUGAUCCCAGUUUUCUUGUUUGGGAAUAUGACAACUUCUUCGUCAUUCUUAUAGAACCAUGAUGAACCGCGAUGUAAGAAGCUUGAUUUGGAUACAUAAAGUAGUGGAGAAUCACAGAAAGUUGAAUAAAUCUCAUAGGAGUUAGGAUGAAGAAGCUAUCCCACUUUCAAAUUAGGUGAUCCCAGUUUUUCUGUUUGGGAAUAUGACAACUUCUUCGUCAUUCUAAUCAAACC